GCUUGAACUUCUGUAAACCACUUCGAAAGUACAUAUAUCAAUGUAGGAGUAGGCUAACCCACCAUUAGUUGAAACGGAAGCUGACAAGUAUUACAUCCUUGGAUGAGAGUGCUAAUACGGAACCUGUCGGUCAAAUUCUUGAUUGACCCAACAAACACCUGUAACAUAUGAAAAAAAUCUGACGUAAAAAAACUAACAUUGGUUGGGAUAGAAUUUAGAGAGAGAUAUAUCUGUCCUUGGGAAGGCAAGCUAUUGAAUUGUCAAUCUGCUUAUGAUACAAAACAUUUGUAGGCAGCCUAUUAUUACCAACAUCAAUGUACACAUACAUAAAUAUUACAAUUCUAAUUAACAAAGAAGAAGCGAUAAAAGAGAAGUAACACUAACACAUGAGUAUUUUGAGCAAGCCACAACAAUUAAAUUGAAGGUUAAAAUCAAAGGAGUAUACCAUAUUGAUUUACGUGCGACCCACCAUGAGCGGAAUGAGUGUUCUUGAACUUAAAGGGAGAAUAUGACACAAAACUUUCCAUGAAUUCUGUCGCGGCCCGCGGCUCCUGAGAAAUUGAAUCGGCUUCAAUUUCAACUUAAAUAAAUAUAGGAAUGCAGUCGUUAAAUCUAAAAAAUAUUUGAACCAAGAUCAACAGAGAACUAAAAUUAAUCUUUACAAUACUUGAAAUUUAAUAUAAUAUCCAAAUGAAAAGCAAAUGCAUAAAACAUGACAGGGGCACAACCAACAAUCACCAAGGGGAAAAUCUAAACUCAUGUACCUGCAAAGAACUAAACAAAUGUACCAUAUAUAGUCGUAAAGACUUAAAAGUUGUUAACCUUUUGAAAACCUAUGAAUCAACAACUGAAUUAGUUGGGAAUAAAGGCGUACAGAUUUAAUUCUAUUUGGUCAAUAGAAACAAUUAAAAUCUGCAACACCUGUUGAACAUUACUGAACGGAUGGGUUGCACAUUAUUAUCAGUGAAGAGGACAUAUGGCAUAGUCUUAUUGUGUUCCCUACUAAAUCAUCAUGUAUCAAUCCACUAAAAAGGACAAUUCCUACAAUAAAUAUUCUACCUCUGAUGGAGUUUACUAAUUUCUCUUGUGGAAAGAAGGUACUUAAGAAAAUAAUAACUUUUACAUAUCUGAGCCAAGUUGUUGUAAUAGACAACACUAAAUCUUAAGCCUGCAAAAUCCAAUAACAUGAAACUACUUCAUUAUGUAGCAUAAAAUUACAAAAUUAAAACCAAGAUAAUCGAAUUAGUAGAAACUACCAUAGUCUUCUCUAUUUGUGGCUGAUUUGAACUGUAGCUAGAGUUUGGGGCUUUCCAACAACUGGUGACAUUAUUCUCCUCUAGUCCUUGCAUAUAAGAACCAUCAGAAACAAUUCUAAAAACUUGAUAGACUAAUCCUAGAUUAAAAUGAUGAAAAAUAAAACAUACAAAAUAGGGGAAAACCCACCUCUCUUGUUGUGAUUUACAAGCACGACAGAUUACAUAUGCUUCGUUGACAUGAAAGAUAGAAUUGAGGGCUUGAUGACUGCAAUUGUCUGAAUGGUGAAUGGCAAUGAGUAGGGAAAAGAGAAUCGCCGUCAAUCUGAGAACCUCACGAAACAAAAGAUACAAACAACACCAGGAGGUAGGAAGUGACUAAAGUUGGAUUCAGUGUUGAAAUCACCGAAUUGCGAUUGCAGUACCCAAUUGCAGCACCGAAGAACCAACCUAAUCUAAAAAAGAAGGGGAAGGAAACAAAAGUGAACAAAGAAGAAAAUGAGGAGGUGAAGAAAAAAGGGAGGAGGGGAACGGUUAGUUUUCAUUGACAGAUAGAAAAAAAAAUUGCUGGGAAUGGAAGGCCAGAAGCAGAUUUUUGCUUCACCAGUUGAAAAAUUACGGUGUGAUGAAGAUAAAAGGAAGAGGAAGAACAAUAAUGAAGUUAUGCAACUUCAGAUAAAAUCGAAGAAGAGGAAGAAUAGAAGUCGUAGGAGAGAAGAAGAGGUU
rnacentral:lncRNA from 1 species